rnacentral:rRNA from 1 species
CCCUGCCCUUUGUAUACACUGCCCAUCACUCCUAUCAAUUGAAUGGUCUGGUGAAGUGUUCGAACUACUGUGAUGCUAGGUGGUUUGCCGCUCAUGAAGCUAUGAGAAGUCCAUUGAACCUUAUCAUUAAGAGGAAGGAGAAGUCAUAACAAGGUUUCUGUCAGUAAACCUGCAGAAGGAUCAAU